UCAGACAUGGUUUAACGGAAGCACAGCCUCCUAUUCUGCUGCCGAGUCGAAAUUAAGAGGCAAUCCAUGAUUCGACUCCCUGUGUCUGAA